rnacentral:rRNA from 1 species
AGUGAACGCUGGCGGCAGGCCUAAUACAUGCAAGUCGAACGGCAGCACAGCAGAGCUUGCUCUGUGGGUGGCGAGUGGCGGACGGGUGAGGAAUACAUGGGAAUCUGCCCAGUCGUGGGGGAUAACGUAGGGAAACUUACGCUAAUACCGCAUGCGCCCUUCGGGGGAAAGCCGGGGGAACCUUCGGGCCUGGCGCGAUUGGAUGAGCCCAUGUCGGAUUAGCUAGUUGGCGGGUAAUGGCCCACCAAGGCGACGAUCCGUAGCUGGUCUGAGAGGAUGAUCAGCCACACUGGAACUGAGACACGGUCCAGACUCCUACGGGAGCAGCAGUAGGAAUAUUGGACAAUGGGCGCAAGCCUGAUCCAGCCAUGCCGCGUGAGUGAAGAAGGCCCUCGGGUUGUAAAGCU